rnacentral:rRNA from 1 species
UUCUGGCUCAGGAUGAACGCUGGCGGCGUGCCCAACACAUGCAAGUCGAACGAAGCUUGGGGAACGGAGAUUCGUCGAAGAGAACCAAGACUUAGUGGCGGACGGGUGAGUAAUGUAUGAGCAACCUGCCUUUCAGAGGGGGACAACAGUUGGAAACGACUGCUAAUACCGCGUAACGUAUGAUGGGGGCAUCCCUGACAUACCAAAGGAGCAAUCCGCUGAAAGAUGGGCUCAUAUCUGAUUAGCUUGUUGGCGGGGUAACGGCCCACCAAGGCGACGAUCAGUAGCCGGACUGAGAGGUUGAACGGCCACAUUGGGACUGAGAUACGGCCCAGACUCCUACGGGAGGCAGCAGUGGGGAAUAUUGGGCAAUGGGCGAAAGCCUGACCCAAGCAACGCCGCGUGAAGGAAGAAGGUCUUCGGAUUGUAAACUUCUUUUAUGAGGGACGAAGGACGUGACGGUACCUCAUGAAUAAGCCACGGCUAACUACGUGCCAGCAGCUGC